GUGGGGAAUAUUGGACAAUGGGCGAAAGCCUGAUCCAGCCAUGCCGCGUGUGUGAAGAAGGUCUUCGGAUUGUAAAGCACUUUAAGUUGGGAGGAAGGGCAGUAAGUUAAUACCUUGCUGUUUUGACGUUACCAACAGAAUAAGCACCGGCUAACUUCGUGCCAGCAGCCGCGGUAAGAGGAAGGGUGCAAGCGUUAAUCGGAAUUACUGGGCGUAAAGCGCGCGGAGGUGGUUUUGUAAGUUGGAGGUGAAAUCCCCGGGCUCAACCUGGGAACUGCCUCCAAAACUGCAUGACUAGAGUACGGUAGAGGGUAGUGGAAUUUCCUGUGUAGCGGUGAAAUGCCUAGAUAUAGGAAGGAACACCAGUGGCGAAGGCGACUACCUGGACUGAUACUUACACUGAGGUGCGAAAACGUGGGGAGCAAACCGGAUUAGAAACCCUUGUAGUCC
rnacentral:rRNA from 1 species